UUUCAAAUGGCUAAGUCGGUCAUCAUCGGCCCGAGGCUGUACAUGAAGAUGGCAGAUGUGUUCUGGAUACCACAGUGCUGUAGGGUGCCAACAACCUUCAUAAGCUUUUCACCGGGGAUCAAGUCCCUCAAUUGCUUGGUAUUCAUGUGGAAUUCACUCUCUGGGUCAUGGAGGCCGCUGCCAUCAUUGCCAUUGCGCUAGCAAAAUGAGGGGGGAACCUACCUGAGUGGUUGGAUCACCCUGUUUGUUAUCAAGCAUCUGCUUCCUCCACCGUGUUUGCAUUGCCUCAACCAGAACUAGUCUGCUUGUUGUACAG